ACAUUUUGCCGUUCCGACUCUAAAGCAACUACAUUUCUCUACAGAGCACAGAACUGUAAGAAAUGGUCAAAUAUCACCAAGUGCACAAGACUCAAGACUGGCAUAGUAGAAGACAAAGGUGGAUAUAUGGACUUUUCCUGCUUUAAUCUCUUCAAUGCCCAACUCAGAGAUAAAUCUUCCUAAAAUAACAUUCUCACCAUGUUGCUUUCCUGGUCAAGAACCUACAGGCUCUCCUCAUAGAUUACUGCAUCAAGAUCCCAAUACUCAGCUGGGCAUGAUGGCUCAUGCCUGUAAUCCUAGCACUGUGACAGGUCGAGGUGGGUGCAUAGCUUGAGCCCAGGGAGUUCAAGAACAGUCUGGGCAACAUGGCAAAACCCCAUCUCUACCAAAAAAAAAAAAAAAAGGAAAAUUGGCCAGGCAUGGUGGUGCAUGCCUGUAGUUCAGCUACUUGGAGGCUGAGGCAGGAGGAUCACUUGAGCCCAGGAGGUUGAGGUUGCAGUGAGCUGAAAUUGCACCACUACACUCCAGCCCAAGUGAUAGAGUGAAAGACUCUGUCAAACAAACAAACAAACAAACAAAAAACAAAAACACUCAAAUUCUGUACUUGAAAUUCACGGUUCUGGCAGAGAAACAACAAAAAAAGAAAAUUUCAGGCCAAUAUCCCUGAUGAACAUCGAUGUGAGAAUCCUCAAUAAAAUACUGGCAAACCGAAUCCAGCAGCACAUCAAAACGCUUA
rnacentral:lncRNA from 1 species